CAACAGAGGAGUGUGGUGAGACUGACUCAGCUCCUGAGAGCAAUGAAUCCCUGAAAUGCCCAGGAAUGGGGAUUUCUGUGUGGGCAGAGGAGCAAAAAGGAGCUGAGGAGGGCCCUAGAUGGGGACAUGGGACAUCUGAGCCUCUUCUGACUCCUUCUCAGGAUUCUGCAAGAUAGGCUUUGAUUGACACUUCAAAUCUGCCUGACAAUCUUUUAUUCUAAGUGCAGCUGCUGCCUUUCUUCAGAGCAGGAAGAGCUGGUUUGGUUGCUGUCCUUCAAAUGAUGCAUCUCAUCACAUGGCAAAGAGUAGGAAAAAAACCACAAACCACCUAGAAAGAGCCACAGGACCAGCAGAAAAAGAGGUGUGGACAAGACCAAGGAGCAGCACUGGAAGGUGUGGUAGGUCCUGAGUGUCCUGCAAGAUGGAGAAGUUUGAAACUUCACCCUGCUGCUCUGUGGAUGGGACUGUUUGUUGGGACUGAUUAUCUUUGGGAUCCUGCUACUGCUGGAGCAUCACACACAGGAUUAUCCAAAGCACUGCUGUUUGCCUCC